AUCCGGGAGAGACUCUUUGAAUAGGGCGCCGAAGGGGCAACGUACGUCAAACUCUCAGGCAAAAGUACCGGUU
rnacentral:ncRNA from 1 species